rnacentral:pre_miRNA from 1 species
AGUGGGAUAACUGGGUCAAAUGGUGGUUUCAUUUCAAAUUUUGUGAGAAAUCUCCAUACCACUUUCCAGAGUGGAUGUACCAAUUUGCAGUCCCAUCAUCUAU